UAACGCGUGGAUAACCUGCCUCACACAGGGGGAUAACAAUUAGAAAUGACUGCUAAUACCGCAUAAGCGCACGGCAUCGCAUGAUGCAGUGUGAAAAACUCCGGUGGUGUGAGAUGGAUCCGCGUCUGAUUAGGUAGUUGGUGGGGUAACGGCCCACCAAGCCGACGAUCAGUAGCCGACCUGAGAGGGUGACCGGCCACAUUGGGACUGAGACACGGCCCAA
rnacentral:rRNA from 1 species